UUCUAACAUAUCACCAACAAACUUAUGUUUAUUACUUGAUUGCUGUUUAAUGUUUAAAUGAUUAUCGUUAAGGUUUAAUCUUAAAUCUUAUGUUAUCUGAUCUUAAUGUAUACUAAAAGAGUCGGUGUAUCUCUCUCUCUCUCGUAGUUUUCUUGGGUUAUGUGUUUGCUGAUAUGACCGUCUUUUAUAGUAUGACGAUUCGACUCUUGAAUACAAAUUUGAAGUUAUGUAUUGAUGUUGAGGGUCGACUCGUGUAAUCAUGUUGCAUCACAUUGUUUCUACUUUUUAAAGAUGAACCUAACUUUGACCUCCCUAUUUGACUACAAUACUAUUCAACGUCGUUCUACAAAGCGACCACUUAUAUUUUAAAGCAUAAUAGUUGUGCAUUGAUUUGGUUUUCGACGGUAGCCCAGAGUGGUGGUGUAAGAGAUGCAGAAUGAAUCAGCCUACCGAUGAUGCUUAGACUAUUAAGAGUGUUUACAGGCUCUAAACAGGAUACGCGCUCAUUUGGUACAUUUUCGGAUGAUUAUUGGCCAGGAAGUACGUUAUGAUGAUGAGAGUUGAUUUGAGUGGAAGAGACGGCAGAGUUUGGCAAGUAAUCGAGAUCGAAAUUA